AGGAGGAGGAGGGGGAGGAGGAGGAGCGUCUAAACGAGGAGCGAUUAGAAGCUAGACGCUUCGGCCUAUGGUUUCAAGAGCUGAUGGAGUGUGAUUCAGGGUACUCGUCAGCUGACUCGUCAGCUGUCUCGUUAUUGGCGUACCGCGAUUAGUACGAGAUAUACAAACGGGCGGGGGGAGAACGCGCAAUACACAGGGGUGCGAGGCUUUCGGGGAUGUGCAACCCCCGGGAGGGCGGAUCAUCAUUGCGCACGAUACAGCUCGUUAUUUCAAACGUUUUCGACUACGUGGUCGGGAGAUAACACUGCGUAUCCGCCAGCCUCAAGCUGGCGCAAACGUGACAGCAUGGCUUGAAGGAGCAUUCCGCGAUCUUCUGACGCAUCUCACGAGUCACUGUGAGGGUGGUGACUACGCGGGGAUCUCGUUCUCCGCGAGCAGCUUAACACACGGCCCCGUCUGGCUUUCAUUCCGUCCUGUCCGCGCCUAUACAUUUGUAGAUAUCUGGCAAUUAAUAACAAGCAUAGCUCAAAGUGCAGCGUCUCUGGAUAUUGAUGAUUCUUUCCAAAUAAAAGUAUGUAUCGUUAAAGGCGUGGAGGGUAGGGGGCGAAAACGUUUGACACACGAGGGCGUUGCUAAAAAAUCAAUUUUAACGAUUCGAAAUACCGACAAUCUGUGUCUACCGCGCUCGUUAGUAACAGCACGCGCGUACGCGGAAAGGGGUGAGAUACGC